GCGCCUUUAGCUCAGCGGAUAGAGUGUUGGCCUCCGAAGCCAAAGGUCAGAGGUUCGAAUCCUCUAAGGCGCGCCA
rnacentral:tRNA from 1 species